GCCGCAGCAAGUCCCAACCAUCCGCCCAGGAAGCGCCGCAACCCGGACUCGGGAGGGGCGGAGAGGGAACCAGCCUGGGGCCACCGCCGAGGGGGAUUCUUGCCCCCACUUUGCGCCACACACUCUUUUCCCAGCUCAGGGGCAAGGGAACAAAAUCAGGCUGAAACCGACCAGGCCAAGCCCUUGAGGGAAGCUGGGGUUCGGCGUUCUCAGGGAUGGGACCAGAGAGAAGGGUGUGAAGGAGACCCCAGUUGAGGCAGGACAUUGCAGGUAAAGAAGGGGAAGAAGAGGCCGAGAAGUCGAGGGCCAGACUGUGAAGGAGAAUAAAGGAGGUCAAAGAGAGGUCAUAUCGUCGUACCUCACUUCCUGACACAAACAAGUUUUUACUGUUGUCAGCAACAAAGCCCUAAUAUAGCUGCGGAAGAGAAAAACUGCAUUGCAUUUGCCUCCUGCAAGCAUCAUCAACACAGUUACCGGAGGAAUGUAAUUCCAGAAAAGCUUUAAAGCUGGUGUGAUGGUAAUUAUGUAUCAAAUGCCUGAUUCUAUUUCUGUUAUUAUUUUGUCAUUUCUGAUCUACUCAACAGCAGGCUGAACUCGCAGAGGGACAAAUCCAGUUUUUCUUUUUCCCUUGGUAAAAUUUAAUCGGACCUGAUACAAAACUCAUUGCUCUUGGGGAAAAUAAAGUAGGAGCCACGAAAUGUAAUUUUAACAGAGCGUGGGUUUUGUGACUGUAGGAAAGGAUUUAAGGACGCUCCUUCUGUUCGGUUUCCUAUGUAAUGAGAAAAGGCUACACGCACGCACAGACGCCACAGCUCCCGGAUGCUGUGGCUCACUCAUCUGGGCUUCUGCAGCGCCAGAAGCCCCUCCGGGAUGCUGCGAGGGGCUCUCGGUGGGUGGUGGUACAAACGCUGCGGCCGCUGCCGCCAGUCCUGCCGCUGCUGUUGUUGCUGCUGCAGUCACGUGGGAGGCCCUUUAAGUUUCCAUAGAGAGGCCUCUCCGGUGUCACAUGAUGGACAUGAUAUAAUGAAACAACAUUGUGGAGAGGAAAGCAUUAGGGGAGCCCACGGCUACAAAAACAAGUGAGUGAGAAGAGGUGGGAGGAAGAGAAACUACGCCACCUCCCCUGCAGCCGAGCUGCACGCAGCAGCAGCCCGCGGGAAGUGGGCGACGCCGGGGGGGGAGGGAGACCCGGUCCCCAGCCCCGGCCCGGGGACCCUGCUGCCCACCGCAAAGAGAACAACUUUUAGCCGGCAGCCUCGGCCAGCACUGCACCUGUCUCCGGAGCCUCCAUCGCUCCUCGUGAUGAUCAAAGGGGCAUUCUAGAAGAAUAUGUUCUACAAAUAUACAUGCGCAUCAUUUCCCCCCUUGCGUCUCGCUCCGGAGGAAGGAAAGAGAAAGGGAUUUAAGCAGCAGCGUGUGUUCAGCCCCAAGGGAACUGGACGGCGUCGCUUCCAACACACCCCCGCCCCCCCGGCGCAGGUUCCAGAAGGCGGGCUGGGUGGGUCUCCAGGUUUCCAGAGAGCGAGUGGCGUAGCAGGGAGAAAAAUCAAGACCACCCUCCACCCCGUUUUAAAUAUCUGAUUCAGCUCGAAGCUAGGCUGAAGGCACCACCAAGCCUCCCUGGAAGGGAACUUCUGCUCAGUUCUUGGACUGAGGGAUGGAAUAGGAUUUUACUUCACUUGUUUUCAGGGACUCUUAACUGGUGAAAAAAUUUGGGAUAUUUUAUCAUCUGGAGUUUCUCUGCCUCGCUGAUGAUCUAAGCUCAAACCUGCCAGUUUAUGGGAGAUGAUAGAAAACACCCUCUAACAUCUGACAAAUCCUUUAUUCGACAAAGAUUUAUGGAACACUCAUCUUUGUCAAGCACACCAAAGAUAAGACAUACCUACAAGGAUAAAAGAAGCAUGGAAUUGAGGGUGGGGGCCUGAUGAUAUGUAACCUGCCUCCUUGGAAGGAGGGGCAUUCAGAGAGAGGUUGGGGAAGCUUUGGAGCAGGGAACUUAGAAAGCUGAGAUUUGGAGGAUGAACAGGACUUGGCUGUUAGCCAGGUUGUCGGGCGUGGGGCGGGGGAGUUGCGAGGACCUUAAAGCUGUGGCAUUGGGUUUAAAGAAGAGAGAAUAGGGUCAGGAGAUGCAGUGAGUCCGAGUGACUUGACUUUGUGACUGGCAGAAUUUGAAGAAUGUAGGAGAAAAAGACAUCAAGGAUUAGUUCAACUUUGCCCUUGGCCAUCUCAACAAGUGGUGAUACCAUUCACACCAGGUGAGAAUACAAGACACCCAGGAGGUUGCAGAAAUAUGUGCCUCUAAGAACUCAGGAGGACCUACUUUGUGGGAGCAAAGGUAGUGAGUCAUACCUGCAAGCUUGGAAAUGAGAGUUCACUUGUGCCUCUUCAUCCAGUCGGGACAUUUCCUCGGCAACCAUUUAUGCAGCAAUUAAAAGAUGAGGAGUUGAGAGGAGAAAAUGGAAAAAACGGAGGUACUUUUAAUGGAACAGAAUAAACCACUGAACAGGAAGAAAUACGUGUCACGUUAGGACCCAGUGCACGCACUUGCACACGUGGAUGUAUGGUUUCCCAAUACAUCUUCACUAUAUGGAAGGAAGAAAGGAUGGAGUUUGAACUGAUUUGCCGGGAAUCAUGUUCAGAAUGGAUCCAGGAUAUUGAAGUGUAAAAGAGCAGGAAACAGCCUUGAGUCUUGGGAGACUUCUGGGCUUUGCGCUUGGCACUGACUCCUCCACAGAAGCAAGGGGUGCAUCUGGCUGUUAGAAGAAUUAAUGGGCAUCCAGUGCCUUGAUUUUCCCACUGAGAAAAAUGAGGAGGCUGCGAUAUACCUGUGGACAGGAUCAGUAGCUUCACUUCUCAGCUCAGAACUUGCCAUGUCUCUUUCCGGCUCGGGAAGUAUGAUGCUCCGCACAGACAGGCAUCUACGUGCGAGAAAGUUAAUGGCGCAGAAUGCUGCUGACUGCAUGGUUCUCGUCUUAAUACAUUUUCCAACCUUGAACCUGAGAAUGCCAGAGGCUCAAGUCUCUGAACGCUCGUCUGAGCCGUUAUCUGCUGGUGGCCUGGUUCCUGACCUAACAAGUGGGUGUCCCAGGCGUGCGUGUGGUAAUAGCAGCAGUGGUGCCACGUGGCGCCCAGAGGUCGCCUUGGUCUGCCCUG